UACAGAGGAUGCAAGCGUUAUCCGGAAUGAUUGGGCGUAAAGCGUCUGUAGGUGGCUUUUUAAGUCCGCCGUCAAAUCCCAGGGCUCAACUCCGGACAGGCGGUGGAAACUACCAAGCUGGAGUACGGUAGGGGCAGAGGGAAUUUCCGGUGGAGCGGUGAAAUGCGUAGAGAUCGGGAGGAACACCAGAGGCGAAGGCGGCUAGCUGGACAGUAACUGACACUCAACUACGAAAGCGUGGGGAGCAAACAGG
rnacentral:rRNA from 1 species